rnacentral:rRNA from 1 species
GUGAGGAAUUUUGCGCAAUGGGGGCAACCCUGACGCAGCGACGCCGCGUGGAGGACGAAGUCUUUCGGGAUGUAAACUCCUGUCAGUGGGGACGAUAAUGACGGUACCCACAGAGGAAGCACCGGCUAACUCCGUGCCAGCAGCCGCGGUAAGACGGAGGGUGCAAGCGUUGUUCGGAAUUACUGGGCGUAAAGCGUAUGUAGGCGGCAAGUUAAGUUCAAUGUUAAAGCCCACGGCUCAACCGAGGAGAUGCAUUGAAUACUGGCUAGCUAGAGGGUGUUAGAGGAAGACGGAAUUCCCAGUGUAGCGGUGAAAUGCGUAGAUAUUGGGAGGAACAUCGGUAGCGAAAGCGGUCUUCUGGGACAUACCUGACGCUGAGGUACGAAAGCGUGGGGAGCAAACGGGAUUAGAAACCCCAGUAGUCC